ensembl:snRNA U6 U6 spliceosomal RNA
UUGCUGCAGCAGCACACAUACUAAAAUUGGAACCAUACCGAGAAGAUUAGCAUGGCCCCUGCACAAAGAUGACUGGAAAAUUUGUGAAGCAUUCCAUUUACAA